GUGACACAAAAUGUAGAUUCAGUUGUAUCACAGCUGUUAGCAGGACAAAGAGCUUUAAGAAGACAUGAACAGCAUUAUUGUUGAAUGUCUUUAAUCCUGCAGUGACAAACUUAUUUCAGUGUUUCCUGUUGCUGUUGUCCUGUUUGUGUAAGAAGAGGCUGAAUAAGCAUCCAUCAGUGGGAGGUUCCCAUCAGGUGUCUCCACCGUGGACUCCACCUCCAACCCCGCUCUCCAGGAUCCACAUAAAGAGAGACGGACGGAGAGAGCAGCGUCCUCUUCACAGAGACACCAACAGAAGAAUCACCAGAGAGCCUCCUGAGCAGCAGCCUUCAUCCUCCUCAUCCUCCAUCAGAGCUGCAGCAGAAUCACAAACACAGCACAGGUUUCUGUCAGCUGAUUGGCCCUCUCCAACAUGCUCCGCCCUCUGCUCUUCCUGUGUGCUCUCAUAGCGGUGACAG